UACGGGGGGGGCAAGCGUUGUUCGGAAUUACUGGGCGUAAAGGGCUCGUAGGCGGCCAACUAAGUCGGACGUGAAAUCCCUCGGCUUAACCGGGGAACUGCGUCCGAUACUGGAUGGCUUGAGUAUGGGAGAGGGAUGCGGAAUUCCAGGUGUAGCGGUGAAAUGCGUGGAUAUCUGGAGGAACACCGGUGGCGAAGGCGGCAUCCUGGACCAUUACUGACGCUGAGGAGCGAAAGCCAGGGGAGCAAACGGG
rnacentral:rRNA from 1 species